AAACUUUCACAAAAAAAAUGUUUUCACCUAGUUGUCAUGCUGUUGUCAACUGGUUGUCAACUCAACAGGGUUGUAACAGUUUCAUAGAAAAUCUGCUUAAUAUUAUCUGGGACUAGAUUCGAUGAAUUUUUUUAUGUAUUUUCCAUUGAUUAUCGUUAAACUGGGAGGUUUUCAGUAAUCUCCUGGUCAACGGAUGGUGUUUUAUCUGCAUGAGUUAGCAGGCCAAGUGGAUUAUUAAAAGACAGUGAAACUAACAUGUCCUUGAAGGUCUGUAAAAACGCGACGUCUGGCAUCGUGAUUUAAACCUGACAUUGAUAUAAGAUAACCUAUGGGCGUACACAGUUGACAUUCUGAUUGUUUAUAUCGCUUUUUAUAUAAACAGCAAGAAAAGAUGUAUUUGGCAAAGCUACAGUUGCUCUUAUUUCGUGCCUUUAGCCUUCCAACUAACUGGCCAAAAUGAAAAGUCAAUAUUUCGGCUUCUCUUCGUGCAGAACGAAAUUCAAUUCAGAUGUAUUCUCUCGAUCGACCCCCUGACGAACUGCCAUUACACAUUGUCUACCGUUUGAGAGUGUAAAUAUAUGUUUUUAUAGUA